rnacentral:rRNA from 1 species
UACAGAGGGGGCAAGCGUUGUUCGGAAUUACUGGGCGUAAAGGGCGCGUAGGCGGCCUUCUAAGUCGAACGUGAAAUCCCCGGGCUCAACCCGGGAACUGCGUCCGAUACUGGAAGGCUUGAAUCCGGGAGAGGGAUGCGGAAUUCCAGGUAUAGCGGUGAAAUGCGUAGAUAUCUGGAGGAACACCGGUGGCGAAGGCGGCAUCCUGGACCGGCAUUGACGCUGAGGCGCGAAAGCCAGGGGAGCAAAGCGGG